UGAGAAAGAAGAUUAAGAAAAACAAUUACUAUAAGUAUGGAAUUUCUAAAUAAAAUGAAGGCAAGUAAAAUUUAAUAAUGUAUUAAAAGUGUGUGUGUGUGUGUGUGUGUGUUCCUUUAUCAGCCGUGAUUGACAUCUGGAAUCCAUGGGUGUCUCAA
rnacentral:sRNA from 1 species